UGCAGACGUAGAGCGGCCAGACAGUGAGGAUGACUCUGGACCCAGGUCAGCUCGCGAGAAGGCUCUGGUAAAUGACCUUAUCACCGCAGUGCGAGAUACCCU